GCUGGCCAACGUUGACUAGAAUGAUCCACUAGCAGGGAUGAGAGAGAGUGGAACAACAAUGACAGGUAUUUCUGGGAAUAAUACACAAGGUGCAGGAUCAGUUCAUUCCACAAAUGAAGAAAGAUUCCAAGGGGUGAAAGGGGCGACCGUGGCUGACAAGGGACGUCAGGGACAGUUUAAUCAUUAAAGUGAAGAAGUACAACAAAGCCAAGAUGAAC